rnacentral:rRNA from 1 species
UACAGAGGGUGCGAGCGUUGUCCGGAAUCACUGGGCGUAAAGGGCGCGUAGGCGGCGCGGUAAGCGUGCGGUGAAAGCCCGGGGCUCAACCCCGGGUCGGCCGUGCGGACUGCCGGGCUGGAGCACUGUAGAGGCAGGUGGAAUUCCUGGUGUAGCGGUGAAAUGCGCAGAUAUCAGGAAGAACACCCGUGGCGAAGGCGGCUCUCUGGGACGGUACUGACGCUGAGACGCGAAAGCGUGGGGAGCGAACAGG